rnacentral:rRNA from 1 species
CCUACGGGAGGCAGCAGUGAGGAAUAUUGGUCAAUGGGCGGGAGCCUGAACCAGCCAAGUCGCGUGAGGGAAGACGGUCCUAUGGAUUGUAAACCUCUUUAGGCGGGGAGCAAUGCCGGGCACGCGUGCCCGGAGGGAGAGUACCCGCAGAAUAAGCAUCGGCUAACUCCGUGCCAGCAGCCGCGGUAAUACGGAGGAUGCGAGCGUUAUCCGGAUUUAUUGGGUUUAAAGGGUGCGUAGGCGGAUUUUUAAGUCAGCGGUAAAAUGUCCGGGCACAACCCGGGCCGGCCGUUGAAACUGGGGAUCUGGAGAGGGCGAGAGGUAUGCGGAAUGCGAGGUGUAGCGGUGAAAUGCAUAGAUAUCACGCAGAACUCCGAUUGCGAAGGCAGCAUACCGGCGCCCGACUGACGCUGAGGCACGAAAGCGUGGGGAUCGAACAGGAUUAGAUACCCUAGUAGUC